UUCUAAGGUUCUGCGAAUUAUGCAGGGGUCCGGAGCUCGGAAGGGACGGCCUCAGGACCUGGGGCUGCGACAGGACACAGUCCCUUGGCGGGGUCCCUGUGCCCGCCCCUGCGCCCGGUGCCCGCUCGGCUCCCGCUGACCCGGAGGGAUGUGCUCGCCGCGGGCUUGGAGCCAAAUCCUCCUGCCGGUGUUCCUCUCCCUCUGCCUCAUUCAACUGCUCAUCAACUUCUCCGAGAAUGGUUUUUCCCAGUUCCUCAGGCACAGCGGCAAGCAGAGACCAAAAAACGCGGACAAAGACGAAUGUGCUGAAAAGAAAAAGUGUAACUCGUGCAUAGAAAAAAGAGGGUGUUUUUGGUGCAGUGAAGAAAAUACUUGCAAAACAUUUUGUUUUCGAUCUCAGUGUCACCUCAGUUCUUUAUUUUGGUUGAACUGUAGAGUUGACAUGUUUGGAAUCCUGAUGCUUCUACUCGUUGCAGUAUUAAUUAUAGCACUUAUUUGCUAUUGCUGCAUCUUUGCCUGUUACAUUCAAGAAAUUGAAACCUAUGUUGCUAGAAGACCAGAAACUCACUACUGGAAUCCUAGAGUAUAUAAUGGAUAACUGAAAAGAAAGAUCUUCCAGAAAGAAAAAGAAGUUUCUUCAAUGAAACAUAGGCUCACCAAAGGAGAACUCAAUGAUAUAAGAAAAUUUCUGCCACCCCCUGUCUUACAACGUCACUUUGCCAUCCCACUUUUGCUUCCUUCAGGAUUUUAAUCAUCCUUACAGCCUCUUUGAGAAUGAUUGAACUUCCAAAUUUCCUCAAGUUAAAAUUUUAAAUUCUAUUGAACAUUUUUGUAGAGUAUGUCCUUACUUUUACAUCAUGACUUGUGCAGUAAUUUGAGACUAUAAGGGUUGAAAAUGCUCUUUAAAUAAAGAGGUUUUUGUUGGUUAAAAAAUAAUUUAACUGUUGAAUCAUCUUUUCUUAGCUAGUCCCACGAUCUUAAUAUUCUUCCCUUUGAACAUUAAAGUGGCAUUAAUAUAGAAUGUUCAAGUACCUGAUGUAAAUUUAUAUACAGCAUAAGGAUUGUGUCAGUCAUUGCUAUUUUCUCAUUAGUGU